rnacentral:rRNA from 1 species
UUGAAGCGUGGACGCCAGUCUGCGUGGAGCCAACCUUGAAAUACCACCCUUUAAUGUUUGAUGUUCUAACGUUGGCCCCUUACCGGGGUUGCGGACAGUGUCUGGUGGGUAGUUUGACUGGGGCGGUCUCCUCCCAAAGCGUAACGGAGGAGCACGAAGGUUAGCUAAUCCUGGUCGGACAUCAGGAGGUUAGUGCAAUGGCAUAAGCUAGCUUGACUGCGAGCGUGACGGCGCGAGCAGGUGCGAAAGCAGGUCAUAGUGAUCCGGUGGUUCUGAAUGGAAGGGCCAUCGCUCAACGGAUAAAAGGUACUCCGGGGAUAACAGGCUGAUACCGCCCAAGAGUUCAUAUCGACGGCGGUGUUUGGCACCUCGAUGUCGGCUCAUCACAUCCUGGGGCUGAAGUAGGUCCCAAGGGUAUGGCUGUUCGCCAUUUAAAGUGGUACGCGAGCUGGGUUUAGAACGUCGUGAGACAGUUCGGUCCCUAUCUGCCGUGGGCGCUGGAGAAUUGAGGGGGGCUGCUCCUAGUACGAGAGGACCGGAGUGGACGCAUCACUGGUGUUCGGGUUGUCAUGCCAAUGGCACUGCCCGGUAGCUAAAUGCGGAAGAGAUAAGUGCUGAAAGCAUCUAAGCACGAAACUUGCCCCGAGAUGAGUUCUCCCUGAGACUUUAAGUCUCCUGAAGGAACGUUAAAGACGAUGACGUUGAUAGGCCGGGUGUGUAAGCGCAGCGAUGCGUUGAGCUAACCGGUACUAAUGAACCGUGAGGCUUAACCUU